ensembl:lncRNA
AUGUCUGAAUGGUUAGUUACAUCCCAGAGUUACUUUGCUCUGCUCUUGUAUACCACGUCUUUCCAUUGGUCCGUUGGUCUGGUGUCCUUGUCUUUCCAUUGGUCCGUUGGUCUGGUGUCCUUGUCUUUCCAUUGGUCUGGUGUCCUUGUCUUUCCAUUGGUCUGGUGUCCUUGUCUUUCCAUUGGUCUGGUGUCCUUGUCUUUCCAUUGGUCCAUUGGUCCAUUGGUCUGGUGUCCUUGUCUUUCCAUUGGUCUGGUGUCCUUGUCUUUCCAUUGGUCCGUUGGUCUGGUGUCCUUGUCUUUCCAUUGGUCCAUUGGUCUGGUGUCCUUGUCUUUCCAUUGGUCCAUUGGUCUGGUGUCCUUGUCUUUCCAUUGGUCCAUUGGUCUGGUGUCCUUGUCUUUCCAUUGGUCUGGUGUCCUUGUCUUUCCAUUGGUCCGUUGGUCUGGUGUCCUUGUCUUUCCAUUGGUCUGGUGUCCUUGUCUUUCCAUUGGUCUGGUGUCCUUGUCUUUCCAUUGGUCCGUUGGUCUGGUGUCCUUGUCUUUCCAUUGGUCUGGUGUCCUUGUCUUUCCAUUGGUCCGUUGGUCUGGUGUCCUUGUCUUUCCAUUGGUCUGGUGUCCUUGUCUUUCCAUUGGUCUGGUGUCCUUGUCUUUCCAUUGGUCCGUUGGUCUGGUGUCCUUGUCUUUCCAUUGGUCCGUUGGUCUGGUGUCCUUGUCUUUCCAUUGGUCUGGUGUCCUUGUCUUUCCAUUGGUCCAUUGGUCUGGUGUCCUUGUCUUUACAUUGGUCCAUUGGUCUGCUGUCCUUGUGUUUCCAUUGGUCCGUUGGUCCGUUGGUCUGGUGUCCAUGUCUUUCCAUUGGUCUAGUGUCCUUGUCUUUCCAUUGGUCUGGUGUCCUUGUCUUUCCAUUGGUCCGUUGGUCUGGUGUCCUUGUCUUUCCAUUGGUCCAUUGGUCUGGUGUCCUUGUCUUUCCAUUGGUCCGUUGGUCUGGUGUCCUUGUCUUUCCAUUGGUCUGGUGUCCUUGUCUUUUCCGUUGGUCUGGAGUCCUUGUCUUUCCAUUGGUCUGGUGUCCUUGUCUUUCCAUUGGUCCGUUGGUCUGGUGUCCUUGUCUUUCCAUUGGUCUGGUGUCCUUGUCUUUCCAUUGGUCCGUUGGUUUGGUGUCCUUGUCUUUCCAUUGGUCUGGUGUCCUUGUCUUUCCAUUGGUCUGGUGUCCUUGUCUUUCCAUUGGUCCGUUGGUCUGGUGUCCUUGUCUUUCCAUUGGUCCGUUGGUCUGGUGUCCUUGUCUUUCCAUUGGUCUGGUGUCCUUGUCUUUCCAUUGGUCCAUUGGUCUGCUGUCCUUGUCUUUCCAUUGGUCCGUUGGUCCGUUGGUCUGGUGUCCAUGUCUUUCCAUUGGUCUAGUGUCCUUGUCUUUCCAUUGGUCUGGUGUCCUUGUCUUUCCAUUGGUCCGUUGGUCUGGUGUCCUUGUCUUUCCAUUGGUCCAUUGGUCUGGUGUCCUUGUCUUUCCAUUGGUCCGUUGGUCUGGUGUCCUUGUCUUUCCAUUGGUCUGGUGUCCUUGUCUUUCCGUUGGUCUGGUGUCCUUGUCUUUCCAUUGGUCUGGUGUCCUUGUCUUUCCAUUGGUCUGGUGUCCUUGUCUUUCCAUUGGUCCAUUGGUCCAUUGGUCUGGUGUCCUUGUCUUUCCAUUGGUCCAUUGGUCUGGUGUCCUUGUCUUUCCAUUGGUCUGGUGUCCUUGUCUUUCCAUUGGUCUGGUGUCCUUGUCUUUCCAUUGGUCCGUUGGUCUGGUGUCUGGUGUACCUGGUUAAAUAAAGGGUUAUAUAUAUAA